AAUUCGCCCUUAGAGUUUGAUCCUGGCUCAGGACGAACGCUGGCGGCGUGCCUAACACAUGCAAGUCGAACGAAGUUCUUACGGAAUGCGACUUCGGUCAAAUGAAGUUUGAACUUAGUGGCGGACGGGUGAGUAACGCGUGAGCAACCUGCCUUUCAGAGGGGGAUAACGUUUGGAAACGAACGCUAAUACCGCAUGAUAUAUUUAAAUCGCAUGGUUUGAAUAUCAAAGGAGUAAUCCGCUGAAAGAUGGGCUCGCGUCCGAUUAGGUAGUUGGUGGGGUAACGGCCUACCAAGCCGACGAUCGGUAGCCGGACUGAGAGGUUGAACGGCCACAUUGGGACUGAGACACGGCCCAGACUCCUACGGGAGGCAGCAGUGGGGAAUAUUGCACAAUGGGGGAAACCCUGAUGCAGCAACGCCGCGUGAGGGAAGACGGUUUUCGGAUUGUAAACCUCUGUCCUCUGUGAAGAAGAAAGUGACGGUAGCAGAGGAGGAAGCCACGGCUAACUACGUGCCAGCAGCCGCGGUAAUACGUAGGUGGCAAGCGUUGUCCGGAAUUACUGGGUGUAAAGGGAGCGCAGGCGGGACUUCAAGUCAGCUGUGAAAACUACGGGCUUAACCUGUAGACUGCAGUUGAAACUGUAGUUCUUGAGUGAAGUAGAGGUAGGCGGAAUUCCGAGUGUAGCGGUGAAAUGCGUAGAUAUUAGGAGGAACACCAGUGGCGAAGGCGGCUUACUGGGCUUUUACUGACGCUGAGGCACGAAAGUGUGGGGAGCAAACAGGAUUAGAUACCCUGGUAGUCCACACCGUAAACGAUGAUUACUAGGUGUAGGGCGGCUGAAACCGUUCUGUGCCGGAGUUAACACAAUAAGUAAUCCACCUGGGGAGUACGACCGCAAGGUUGAAACUCAAAGGAAUUGACGGGGGCCCGCACAAGCAGUGGAGUAUGUGGUUUAAUUCGACGCAACGCGAAAAACCUUACCAGGUCUUGACAUCGAUUGACGAGUGUAGAGAUACACUCUUCCCUUCGGGGACAAGAAGACAGGUGGUGCAUGGUUGUCGUCAGCUCGUGUCGUGAGAUGUUUGGUUAAGUCCAGCAACGAGCGCAACCCCUAUUGUCAGUUGCUACGCAAGAGCACUCUGGCGAGACUGCCGAUGUAAAUCGGAGGAAGGUGGGGAUGACGUCAAAUCAUCAUGCCCUUUAUGACCUGGGCUACACACGUACUACAAUGGCGGUUAACAGAGGGGAGCGAAGGAGCGAUCCGGAGCAAAUCCUCAAAAGCCGUCUCAGUUCAGAUUGCAGGCUGCAACUCGCCUGCAUGAAGUCGGAAUUGCUAGUAAUCGCGAAUCAGCAUGUCGCGGUGAAUACGUUCCCGGGCCUUGUACACACCGCCCGUCA
rnacentral:rRNA from 1 species